rnacentral:snRNA from 1 species
GGCUAUGAGGGCGAUCUGGCUGCGACAUCUGUCACCUCAUUGAUCACCAGGGUUGAUCCGGCUGAUCUGGAUGGCUAGGCGGGUGUCCCCUUCCUCCCUCACCACUCCAUGUGCGUCCCUCCCAAAGAUACAUGCUCGGUCAAAAAGGACAACCUUCCCUGAAUAGAGGAGGACCGGUCUUCGGUCAAGGGUAUACAAGUAGCUGUGCUCCCUUGCUAGAACCUCCAAACAAGCUCUCAAAUAUUCUGUUAGUUUAGGCAUAUAAAGACACAGACUGCAAAACACAAAUGUGUAUAUGUAU